rnacentral:rRNA from 1 species
GAUGAACGCUGGCGGUGUGCUUAACACAUGCAAGUCGAGCGGUAACGCGCUUGCUGCUUGCGGCACUUGACUGCCGAACGGGGGAGUAACACGAAGGCGAUCGGCACUGCACUCCGGGAUAAGCCUGGGAAACUGGGAUUCAUACUGGAUAGGACGACGGUCUGGAUUCCAUUGGGGAAAGAUUUUUGGGGUGGAUUGGGGUCUCGGCCUAUUGCCUGCUUGUUGGGCUUAUGGCCGGUCAAGGCGUCGACGGGUAGCCGGCCGGAGAGGGUGUACGGCCACAUUGGGACUGAGAAAGGGCGCCGACUCCUACGGGUGGCAGCAGUGGGAAAAAAUGCAGAAUGAGCGCAAGCGUGAUACAGCGACGUCGCGUGGGGGAUGACGGCUUUCGUGGUGUGAGCGCCUUUCGCUCGGGACGAUGCGCGAGUGACAGUACCUGGAGAAGAAGCACCGGCUAACUCCGUG